AUUGAACGCUGGCGGCAUGCUUUACACAUGCAAGUCGAACGGCAGCGCGGGCUUCGGCCUGGCGGCGAGUGGCGAACGGGUGAGUAAUACAUCGGAACGUGCCCAGUAGUGGGGGAUAGCUCGGCGAAAGCCGGAUUAAUACCGCAUACGACCUGAGGGUGAAAGCGGGGGAUCUUCGGACCUCGCGCUAUUGUAGCGGCCGAUGGCAGAUUAGCUAGUUGGUGGGGUAAAGGCCUACCAAGGCGACGAUCUGUAGCUGGUCUGAGAGGACGACCAGCCACACUGGGACUGAGACACGGCCCAGACUCCUACGGGAGGCAGCAGUGGGGAAUUUUGGACAAUGGGCGAAAGCCUGAUCCAGCAAUGCCGCGUGUGUGAUGAAGGCCUUCGGGUUGUAAAGCACUUUUGGCGGGAACGAAAAGGACUGUGCCAAUACCACGGUUCGAUGACGGUACCCGCAGAAUAAGCACCGGCUAACUACGUG
rnacentral:rRNA from 1 species